rfam:Gossypium raimondii Chr03_contig_957, whole genome shotgun sequence.
AAUAAAAGAAUGACAAAUCAGAUUUUUUCUCUUGAUUUUUAGCUUUUUCCUCCUGCAAAAUUCAAAUCCAACUAAAAAUGCUAAAAAUCAGGAGGAAAAAUCUGAUUUGUCGUUCUCCUAUU